UACGGAGGGUGCAAGCGUUAUCCGGAUUCACUGGGUUUAAAGGGUGCGUAGGCGGUUUUUUAAGUCAGUGGUGAAAGCUCGCAGCUUAACUGUGAAACUGCCAUUGAAACUGAAAGACUUGAGUAUAAUUGAAGUGGGCGGAAUACAUCAUGUAGCGGUGAAAUGCUUAGAUAUGAUGUAGAACACCGAUUGCGAAGGCAGCUCACUAAAUUGUAACUGACGCUGAGGCACGAAAGCGUGGGUAGCGAACAGG
rnacentral:rRNA from 1 species